rnacentral:piRNA from 1 species
UGCUAUUUCUUUGCUGGUUGACUGC